AGAACGACGUGACAUGGAAGGAGAAUCGCAAGUCGUCACUUGUUUUGUAGCGCUUAGGGGGUACUGAUGUAUCGCUUCUUGUUAGUUGUUAGCGAUCAACAGCAAGUGUUGAGUGUAUAAAAUCAGUCUAUUGACAAAGAAAUAAAACUUUUAAAACCAUGGGUGGAUAUGCCUGGGUUACAUUAGCUACCAAUGAUGCUUAUUCCUUGGGAGCUUUAGUUUUGGCACAUUCUUUACAUCGAGUUGGUACCAAAUAUGAAUUGGCUGUUUUGAUUACCCCUGGAGUAACGCAGAUAAUGAGGGAAAAACUUUCAGGAAUCUUUUCUGUAGUAAUGGAAGUAAAUGUACUUGAUUCAAAAGAUGAAGCUAAUUUGGCACUUUUAGCUAGACCAGAAUUAGGUAUUACAUUCACUAAACUUCAUUGCUGGAGAUUGACUCAAUAUGAAAAGUGUGUGUUUCUUGAUGCAGAUACACUUGUUGUCAGAAAUUGUGAUGAACUAUUUGAAAGAGAAGAACUAUCUGCUGCUCCUGAUGUGGGUUGGCCUGAUUGUUUCAAUUCUGGUGUAUUUGUAUACAGACCAUCCCAACAAACUUUUGCUUCUAUUACUGCAUUUGCUGCUGCUAAAGGUUCAUUUGAUGGUGGUGACCAAGGAUUAUUGAAUAUGUAUUUCAGUGAUUGGGCUAGAAAAGAUAUUUCUAAACAUUUGCCAUUUAUUUAUAAUAUGUGUUCUACUGCUACAUACUCUUAUCUACCUGCAUUCAAGCAGUUUGGAGAUGAUGUUAGAAUAAUUCAUUUUAUUGGUAUUACAAAACCAUGGUUACAGUAUUUUGACACAUUAACUGGUGUUGUUCAACCACCAAUGGGUUCUACACACUUGCAACCAUUAUUACAAUUAUGGUGGAAUAUAUUUUGUGAAAAAGUGCAUUCUCAAUUAUCACCUGUAAUGGCUACCAGCACAUUGGCACCAAUUUGGCACGAAUUUUCUCCUAUGUUUUUUGAAUCCUAUGUUCCAAAAAAUCCCAUUUGUACAGACAUACAAGACAAAACACAAAAUGACAUAUAUCUAGAACUACCAGAUUUCUCAGAAUUUCAAGAUCCAUGGGAAAAUUAUUAUGUACAAAAUAAUUCAGUUAUUUAUAAAACAGAAAAUAAUGAAAGACAACAGUAUUAUUCUGUAAACAACUCUUCACCUGUAUCUGUAUUAAAUGAUCAAUUUAGUCACAUAAAGUCUGUUCAACAGACUCAUGAAUCAUCUCCAAAAAAAAAUAGGGAAUUAAUAGGGAAUCAUAAUCAACAAUAUAAUGAACAUAUUUUUUCUUUGCAUACUCAAUAUCAUCAAAAUCAAGAAUCUAAUCAAUUUAUCAAUAAAAUUGAAAAACGACAUUCAUUUUCUCAUUCUGAUAAUACAACUAUUAUAAAUAUACAACCAAAUUAUUUCCAACUUGAACACAAUAUAAAAAAAUAUAUACCUGUACAAAAUCAUCAUUCGAAUGAAUAUCAACAUGAAUCUGUCAACUAUCAAUAUAAUUCUCAAAAAACUUGCAAUAAUAAUAAUAAUAAUAAUAAUAAUAAUAAUAAUAAUAAUAAUAAUAAUAAGAACAACAACAAUAAUAAUAACAAUAAUAAUAAUAAUAAUAUAUUACCAAAAGAAACAAAACAACAAUAUAUUAAUUAUGAACAUACUUAUCAACAUUCUUCUAAUAAUAUUAAUAAAUCAUUGUCAGAAGAAGUAAAACAUCUACAUAAUAAACUUUAUAGAGAUCAUCAUGAUCAUUACUAUCAAAUGCUCGAUAAUAUAAAUAAUAAACAUUUUCAACAUCAUGAACAAAAAAAUGAAACUUGCAAUUCUCUAGAUGUCAACAUUAUUCAUGAUCAACAUUAUAUUAUGCUAAAUAAUAUAACUUAUCAGAAUAAUGUUUUAAUUAAGCAAAAUAUUGCACAAAAUGAAAAUAUGAACGUUACAGACAAACGAACAUUAAUAUCUACUAAUCCUUAUCCUGAUUCCAAACCUUGUAUAGAUUUCCACAAUGUAGCAACGCAAUCUGAUCCACAUAUAAUGGAUGAUCUAAAUAAUUCAAAUGCUGGUCUUGCUGGUGCCUUGGCUCAAAUGACAUUAGGUGAACCCAGAAGCUCUGAACAAAUUGCAUUAGAAGAACAUAUGCGGAAACAAAGUUGGGAACAAGGUCAAAUAGACUAUAUGGGUCGAGAUAGUUUUGAUAAUAUUUGGAAAAAAAUUUGUGAAACUCUUGCUCUUGCACCUCCACGAUUACCAUCUCCUCCUAAAGAAAUACAAAAGUCUGUCAAAACUACAAUUGAUGAAACUGAUGAAUUUAUUAAAUCUGCUGAAAUUACUCAAUUUAUCAAGUCUACAGAUGAAGUGGAUAAAAGAACCGUUUAUCAAGUUUAAGUGUUUGAAACAGGAACGGAGGACAGCAACUAACAGAUCCUGGCGCCAUAGCAUUGCUACGUCUUGUAAUGUCAUUUUGCUUUAAUGGGCUCAAACAAACAGUCAUACUGAAGAAUCUCUAGUUAAUAAUGUUCCUACCACAAAUGUACCUAAAUUAUUGGAAAAUCAAAA
rnacentral:misc_RNA from 1 species